rnacentral:rRNA from 1 species
GACGAACGCUGGCGGCGUGCUUAACACAUGCAAGUCGACGGAAAGGCCCUGCUUUUGUGGGGUGCUCGAGUGGCGAACGGGUGAGUAACACGUGAGUAACCUGCCCUUGACUUUGGGAUAACUUCAGGAAACUGGGGCUAAUACCGGAUAGGAGCUCCUGCUGCAUGGUGGGGGUUGGAAAGUUUCGGCGGUUGGGGAUGGACUCGCGGCUUAUCAGCUUGUUGGUGGGGUAGUGGCUUACCAAGGCUUUGACGGGUAGCCGGCCUGAGAGGGUGACCGGCCACAUUGGGACUGAGAUACGGCCCAGACUCCUACGGGAGGCAGCAGUGGGGAAUAUUGCACAAUGGGCGGAAGCCUGAUGCGGCAACGCCGCGUGCGGGAUGACGGCCUUCGGGUUGUAAACCGCUUUCGCCUGUGACGAAGCGUGAGUGACGGUAAUGGGUAAAGAAGCACCGGCUAACUACGUG